rnacentral:lncRNA from 1 species
CUCCUAUAUUCUUUUAGAACACAAUGAAAGGAAAUUAUUUGCUUUUUAUGAGAAACUGAUAUACUUUCUCUCCAUAGAUGAUGAAAAUAACUUUCUUUGACUACCAAGAAAUAUAUAAUCAAAUUUGUAGACCACUUUUAAUUUUUUAAAAAAAUCCUGGAUCUGUAUUUUUUACCUUCCUGACCUCUUACUAUAAUUUAUCUUUUCUCUGGUCCUGAAUCUCUGUAAGCUGACUUGCUUUCAGGGGAAUGACACUGUGCACAUAAUACAGCAUCACCUGGGUCUUCCAAGAUUUGGUCUCCACCAUCACCUCACCACCACCCUGUCCCACCUGUCCACAAACAGUUUGGAAGUUUCCUCUUUUCAGCUUUCCUCUUUCCAAACUUAAGCUUCCGUAUGUACAAUGUAGCUCUCUCCUACUUAAAGAAAAAUAAAUUCAGAGUGAUCCUCCUAAAGUUGUGAAAUAAGAUCAGUCUGUAGUUUUUCCAUCUGUCCUCCGUUGAGUCCUCCUGGUCAGGCUCCCAGGACCUCCAACAUGUGAGAUUUGUGCCUCUACUUGACCCUUGGCAUCGAACCAAGCCAAAUUCCUCUUCAGAUGUAGAUGGGCAAUGUUUUCUAAUUUACACAGGGCUUGUACCUUACCCCAUUUACUCAAAUAAAUAAUAACACUUAAAUUUUCUACAUUACAUGCACACGUUUCUCAAAAAAAUUAUCUACGGAAUUUAUCUUAAUUGUAUUUAUUUUAAAUAUUUCUGGGAAAGCAUUCCUAGGGAAGACUUCUUAGUUCCAUUUAUUGUCAAAGAGGAAAUGGAGUGGGGCCUUUUAUUUUUUGUGUGUGUUAAAUAUAGAGUAUUAAUUGGUAUAAAUAUUCCGGGUAGAAUUUCUAAAUAAAUUCAAAACAUGCUUUGUUUUUAGAAAAGAUACAUAUUAAUGCCCUAAACCUAAACUAAAACUAAACCAGAUGAAAUGCUGUGUCUUAACGCAAGUCAGGCACCAUUUACUUGCCUCCCAAAGUUUCCAGUCAAUCUACCUUCAAGUUGCACAGUGCUUUCCAUUCAGCAGGAAUGGCUGCUGUUCUAAAUGCUGAAGAUUUUUAUUUUCUCAUUUAUAUCCUUUUAACAAGUAAUUAAUGGGUUUAAAUACCUUCCUGCAUGAUUACAAUUUUCUCUUAUUAGCUUUUAGCUGUGUGUGAUAUUCAACAUCCAUUCCUCUUUGUUUUUAGAAAGUACUUUUUAAAAAUCUGAAGUUUAAACACAGGGUAUAAAAUUUCUAUUUGUUUUAUAUUUCCAUAACAUCAAAUAAUAAUCUCUCUAAACUUAUAUUUUGAAAUACAAAAUACUUCCUUCUUCCUCUGGAUCAACAAAAUGGGUUUAAUUAAUCUUAUGCCCUUAUUUAAGGUUUUAGGAAAUAAUAAUCGCCAUUCUUUAGCAGGCAAAAAUUAUGGAUACAGUAGUUACAAUAAAUUAACUCAAAUGAUCUCACAAAUGAAAAAAUUUUCCCGGUUAAGAGUGUAAAAACUCUACUGUCCUAAAUUGUCUCCCAGUCACACUACUGUUACUUAAACAACAUAUCUCAGUAAAAGUACAGACGUCAUUUCACAUUUGUCAACUCACUAAUUUAAUAACCACAUGAAAAGGCAAUAGAAUUAUAAAACAUGUCAUUUUUCCAAUACUCUAAUGAAAUUUUUCAUGUAUAUGAAAAUUCACUUACUUGAUUAUGCAUUUUCAUUACUAUUACUUUGAAAAUUUAUCAAAACAAAAGGAGUUGUAUCGUAGCCAAAAAGACUUUUUAAAUAUAAAAUUUGGUCUAAGUAAGAUAAUAUUUUAUAAUAACAUGAACUACGAAACUACAACUAUAUAUAUGAAAAAAUAUUGAUUUUGGUAAAAACUUUCCAGCUUGAUCCAAAAAAUUUUUUAUUUUUAAAACAAUCUAUAUCUAGUUACUUAUCAACUGAUUUCCAGUUGUUCAACUGACUAUAAACUGCUUUUUGUUUACAAAAAUAAAUUAUGGUAACAAUUUAAGUACUAAAAUAUUUGAGGUUUUUCUUUAAGGUUAAUGUAAAUUUAGUGCUGACAUUUUAAAAAUUACUAUUAAGAUGGCCAUUGAUUACAAUGAUUAGUGAAUAUAAUCAAAAUCAUGAAACCAAAUUAUUUAAGUGGACAAGCUGCUGAAGCAAUCAUAUUCAUUUAGAGGUGAGAAAGUGCAAGUUGUCUUUUUAACUGAAAUCACAGUAAAAUCAAGAAAAAAAAGAAACUCCCAUUCACAUUCUAAGUAAAAUUACAUGACCAAAAAAAGUUAUUUGCAUAUAUAAAAAUGCUUUCAAACUAAGGUGGAUGUGUGCAUAGAAAUCCCUAUGAAGAACCCAGAUUUUGUUUCUGGGAAAAGUUAGCACAUUCUCCUGGCAAAUCUUUCAGAGUCUAUCAUUAAAUUACCAGCUAUAGAGAAGGCUUUUACCAAGAUAGCUAAAUUUCUAGUUGAUAACUUUAAGAUUUGUUUAAAAAAAUAACUUCAGUAUUGCAAAUAAUAAGAAUUAAUUUUUCUUUCUACAGACUAAAAGGUUUUGUUAUACUCCCAAAUCUGUGCCAUCUUCUGCCUGACACACUAUUUAGAGCUGCUCUUUUGUGUUAGUUGUUUUUCAAACUUCACUAGAUGAUCUCAGGAACCUCUAGGGAUUUAAAUCAUCAUGAACAAAUGAUAGCGUCAGACUGAUACGCUAUUAAAGCAAAAGAUAACUUACAUUCGUAACACUAGUUAUAAAUAAUAAUAGGACAUUAGAGAGUUUUAUUAGAAGAAAAAUUGCCUGAAAAACUUCCUCCUAUUAGGUUAACCUUCUAGAAUUUCUCAAACAAACCAAAUUAUUUCUGCAAAAUCAAAGUCAAUACCUGAGUCUGUUUAUAAAAAUCACCAAUUCACAAUGCAACUAUUUUUUUCUUUUCAUUUAACAUUUUUAAAUGAUUUCUUGUCUUCUUUUGUGUUUUAGCUGAAUUUGUGUGCAGCACAUUGUUGCUCCAGCUUAAAAACCUCCUGUGUGGUAAAUGCUUGGCAGCCCUGGGGAAGGCAAUGAACACGGUGAAAUUCAGUGCAGUGUGGUAAGACAAGGAGAGCAUGAAUAAUAUUUGGAGAUCUAGCACACCUUAGUGGAAACAAUUAUUAUUACAACUGCUUUGAAGACAUUUGAAUUUUAAACUCCAUUGUUUGUGAAAUUCUAUUUUGACUAAAUAGAGGGACUUUGUUCAGGCUUUUGUUGUCUUUAGCAUGAUGUGUUUCUUUCCUAAACUCCACACAGAUAAGAAGAUAAAUUUGAUCAUGAAUUUCUAAAAGUAGAAAUCAUAGGUUUUUUAGAAUUAGCAUAAAAUUAUUGUACAACCCUCCAUGGGCUAUCAAAUUGGGAGCAAUCCAAUUUUAUUUGCCAUCAUGGUCACAUAUAAAGUGUCAGAUUAUUCUUGUUAGAUGAUUAUUGUACAUUUAACUUAGAAAAGCUUCUCAGGUCUGCUCCUGAGAUGCUUGAAAGACUUUUGGUUUAAAUAGGUUGCAUAUGUUCUGCUGUUAAUGGCUGACCGUUUUUAUUUCAUAUUACUAAAAUGUAAUCAAGAAAAAGAGAGUAGAAAAUACAUCGCAAAUAUUCAGUCUACUAUCUAGACAAUUUCAAAAGCUUUCAAUUUUAUCUCCUGUUCCAUUAUCUUCAAUUGUAGAGUUUGGAUAGGAAAAGAAUUCAAAAAUAAAUACAAAACAUUCAUUCCAAUACAUGAAGAAAAUUAGCCCUGUUCAUGUACAUUUUCUAAUAUGGAUAUGUUUCUAAAAAUCAGAAUAUAAUAUUUAUGGAGUCAUUAGUAAAAUGCACUUGAUUAUCUAAGAAUCUCAACUGCUUGAUGCUUGAUCAAAAACUAGGUAGAAACUAAAUCAUGCCUAUCAACAAUUAAAUAUUUCUGAAAAGGGGACUUCCAAAAUGGUAGAAUAAGAAGCUCAGCAAAUACUUUCCCUAAAAAGUGACAACAGGGGUGGAGCCAAGAUGGCUGAAUAGGAAUAGCUCCAGUCUAUAGCUCCCAGUGUGAGCGACACAGAAGAUGGGUGAUUUCUGCAUUUCCAACUGAGGUACUGGGUUCAUCUCACUGGGGAGUGUCAGACAGUGGGUGCAGGACAAUGGAAGCAGUGCACUGAGUGUGAGCCAAAGCAGGGCAAGGCAUCACCUCACCCGGGAAGCACAAG